AUGGGCGCUGCAAAUGGUAAUGUUUCUGUGACCAUGGAACAUGGCACUCUUCUCCUGUCCUAUGUUCAUCUUGGCUCUUUUGUAGUGGAGGCCUACGAAGCACUUGUGGCCUCCAAACUUAUAUCUAACCCAGCGGGUGAGAGGCCGGUGGUGGGGCCGGUGGGCGUAGUGCCCUGCCUGGAGCUGCCAAGCUAUGCCGUGGCCUGCGCGCUGGUCAGUGGCCUCUAUUCCUGCCUGGUGGCCGUGCUGCACUGCAGGCACAUAGCGCUGUCGCCCCGCUACCUGAGCCGGAAGCACUCGGGCAUCCGUGAGCAGCUGGACGCCGAGCUCCUGCGCUACUCCGAGAGCCUUUUAGGUGUCCCUAUUGCAUAUGAUAACAUCAGAGUUGUGGGUGAACUAGGAGAUAUUUAUGAUGAUCAAGGACACAUUCAUCUUAACAUUGAAGCAGAUUUUGUUGUUUUCUGCCCUGAACCAGGGCAAAAGUUAGUGGGCACAGUUAAUAAAGUGUCUUCUAGUCACAUUGGCUGCUUAGUACAUGGGUGUUUUAAUGCCUCCAUCCCUAAGCCUGAGCACAUGUCAUUUGAGCAGUGGCAAACCUUGGAGAUAAAUGUGGGUGAUAAACUGGAAUUUGAUGUAUUUCGCUUAGAUUCAGAUUCUGCUGGAGUAUUCUGCAUUCGAGGAAAACUAAAUACUGAGAGUUUACAGUUCAAGGGCUCUGUAGUUUCUAAAGACAUAGCAGAAACUGGUAUUGAAGAAGUUGCUGAAAAAUUUCAAAGAAAAAAAAGAAAGACUCAGAAACAUAUGAAGCAGUUGAUGGUGCCUCAGUGCUGGCACAUUGUGCAGAAGUUGCUGCAGAGGAAGAGGCCGGCCUACGGAGUGUUGAUCCUGUGAACAGCGUGUGCGAGGAAGAGCCGAAGAAGAGGAAGAAAAAGAAGAAAAGCACCAGGAAGAGCAGGACCGUUUUCCAAGCCAGUGACUCUAGUGGCUACCAAAGUGACCAUAAAAAGAAAAAAAAGAAAAGAAAACACAGUGAACAGGCUGACCUGACCUCGGUUCCUGAGUCACCUAAGAAGAGAAAGUAAUCGUCUUUGUCAGUGUUAAACUGUUUACACACAGUGAAUAAAUAGAUGUUUUGAUUGUACAAGAGGACAUUUAUGUGUACCAGAAGUUCACCAAGCAGGAAUGCUUAUUAUCAAUUGGAAUGGUUUGUACCAAAAUCACAAAACUCACUGAAUGAAUUUGGGUUAUACCAAUAUUAUUAAAGUGUCAUUUUAAUACAUACGAUAUAAAAUGGUAACAACUGCUCUCACUCUUGACUUACAUUCUUACAGAUGCUGCACUCUAACGUGCAAUUUUUACACUCUCAAUAUUUGUUAUUUACAUCAUUAUAAGAAACUAAAUUUGGGGGUUUUGCUUUCUCUUUUUCUAGUAAUAGAUGUUUGGUUUUACUUUUUUGUUGCUGUUUAU